rnacentral:rRNA from 1 species
GACGAACGCUGGCGGCGUGCUUAACACAUGCAAGUCGAACGGAAAGGCCCCUUUGGGGGUACUCGAGUGGCGAACGGGUGAGUAACACGUGAGUAACCUGCCCUUGACUUCGGGAUAACUUCAGGAUACUGGGGCUAAUACCGGAUAGGAAUCCUUGCUGCAUGGUGGGGGUUGGAAAGCUUCGGCGGUUUUGGAUGGACUCGCGGCUUAUCAGCUUGUUGGUGGGGUAGUGGAUUACCAAGGCUUUGACGGGUAGCCGGCCUGAGAGGGCGACCGGCCACAUUGGGACUGAGAUACGGCCCAGACUCCUACGGGAGGCAGCAGUGGGGAAUAUUGCACAAGGGGCGGAAGCCGGAUGCAGCAACUCCGCGGGCGGGAUGACGGCCUUCGGGUUGUAAACCGCUUUCAGCAGGGGCGAAGCUUGUGGUGACGGUACCUGCAGAAGAAGCACCGGCUAACUACGUG